GGUCUCUUGGCCGAGUGGCUAGGCGCUGGUCUGCAAAACCAUUUACUCCAGUUCGAGUCUGGAAGAGACCU
rnacentral:tRNA from 1 species